rnacentral:rRNA from 1 species
UACAGAGGUCUCAAGCGUUGUUCGGAUUCAUUGGGCGUAAAGGGUGCGUAGGUGGCGAGGUAAGUCAGGUGGUGAAAUCUCGGAGCUCAACUCCGAAACUGCACUUGAUACUGCCCUGCUCGAGUACUGGAGAGGAGAUUGGAAUUUACGGUGUAGCAGUGAAAUGCGUAGAUAUCGUGAAGGAAGACCAGUGGCGAAGGCGAAUCUCUGGACAGUUACUGACACUGGAGGCAGCGAAGGCCAGGGGAGCAAAACGGG